AUUGAACGCUGGCGGCAGGCCUAACACAUGCAAGUCGAACGAGUGGCGGACGGGUGAGUAAUGUCUGGGAAUCUGCCUGAUGGAGGGGGAUAACUACUGGAAACUGUAGAUAAUACCGCAUACCCUCAGCUGCGCCCAGAUGGGAUUAGCUUGUUGGAGGGGUAACGGCUCCCCAAGGCGACGCUCCCUAGCUGGUCUGAGAGGAUGACCAGCCACACUGGAACUGAGAAACGGUCCAGACUCCUACGGGAGGCAGCAGUGGGGAAUAUUGCACAAUGGGCGCAAGCCUGAUGCAGCCAUGCCGCGUGUAUGAAGAAGGCCUUCGGGUUGUAAAGUACUUUCAGCGGGGAGGCGUUACCCGCAGAAGAAGCACCGGCUAACUCCGUGCCAGCAGCCGCGGUAAUUC
rnacentral:rRNA from 1 species